rnacentral:rRNA from 1 species
AAGGAUUCCCUCAGUACGGGCGACGGAAGCGGGAAAAGCCCACAUUGGUAAUCUCCGGGCCCUGGCUCGGCGAAUUGUAAUCUGAAGACGGUUAGUCCACCUGGACCGGGCGCCGAAGUGCCGCACGAGAGCGCCGCCAUAGAGGGUGAGAGCCCCGUAUGGUGCCAGGUCCUACCAGGGCUGGUUGUCGAAGAGUCGUGUACUUUGAUACUAGUGCACUAAGCGGGAGAUAAACUUCUUCUAAGGCUAAAUAUAAGUAGGAAACCGAUAGCGAACAAGUACUGUGAAGGAAAGAUGAAAAGCACUUUGGAAAGAAAGUUAAAAGACUUGAAAUCGUUGAGGCGGACCCGGUAGAAAUGUAUUCUAGCGAAACUCUCUGGGAAGCCUGUACGCGGGCCACUUGAGGGUUAGCCGAGACAAGAUGGGGUCGUGCGAUGCCAAAGGCCGUGCGCUAGGGAGCUUGCUCCAGAGUGUGCUGGUUGGGUGUCGCGCGGCUCGAGGGGCUUUGAGCGAUCUUGUCAAAAUGGUUUUUACCGACUCGUCUUGAAACACGAACCAAGGAGUCUAAGACUAACGCGAGUAUGGUGGUGAGAAACCAACAUGCGAAAUGAAAGUAAACGAUGCCAAGCUCCCUGCAGCAUCGACCGACUUUUUUCUUCUGGAAGAGGUUUGAGUAAGAGCGUUAUUCUUAGGACCCGAAAGAUGGUGAAACUAU